CCUUUCGGCAGGAGUUGAACCCCAUCGUCAUCUUCAGACCUAGAUGAAGAAGAACACGACAUCACCUCUGAUCUAUGAAAAAACUUCACCUUUUUCCUUCAAAACAACACUCCCAAAUGAAUGAUCCUUCUUCUUUCUCUGUUUUGUCACAUCCAAGUUUUGUUGUGCAGUUCUCUUUCUUUUUAGAUUUUAAACAAAUCCCUUUAUCUUGAACCAAAAUUUUGAAGCUUUUGUUUCAAAGAUGGAAGGGUGCGUGUGGCGUUCUCAAAUCACGAGUCUCUCCCUCUCUUCAACAGUCCUCCACUUUUUUUUCUCUGUUUUCUCUUUUGCUCCCUGCAAUGUUCUCUAACUAUGUGUAUUGUUGGAAGGGCUUUUAGGGAAGAUAAGUACUAUGGAUGUUAUUUUAGGUGGGGAGGAAUAAUCAGAGUCUUGAAAAAGAAUUGUGAGUUGCUGCGCUUUCCUGUGUCACCCAUCUGCUUCUUAUCUUUAUACUUAUACUUAUACCCAAUUUCAUCCAUUGCAGCUCUUCCAUAAGCUUCAGCCG
rnacentral:sRNA from 1 species